rnacentral:rRNA from 1 species
UAGGGAAUCUUCGGCAAUGGGGGGAACCCUAACCGAGCAACGCCGCGUGAGUGAAGAAGGUUUUCGGAUCGUAAAGCUCUGUUGUUAAGGAAGAACGAGUGUGAGAAUGGAAAGUUCAUACUGUGACGGUACUUAACCAGAAAGGGACGGCUAACUACGUGCCAGCAGCCGCGGUAAUACGUAGGUCCCGAGCGUUGUCCGGAUUUAUUGGGCGUAAAGCGAGCGCAGGCGGUUAGAUAAGUCUGAAGUUAAAGGCAGUGGCUCAACCAUUGUAGGCUUUGGAAACUGUUUAACUUGAGUGCAGAAGGGGAGAGUGGAAUUCCAUGUGUAGCGGUGAAAUGCGUAGAUAUAUGGAGGAACACCGGUGGCGAAAGCGGCUCUCUGGUCUGUAACUGACGCUGAGGCUCGAAAGCGUGGGGAGCGAACAGG